rnacentral:lncRNA from 1 species
GAAUAGGAUUCAUUUCUUGUACCUUUUUAAAGGGACCUCUCCUAAGGUCCCUAGAGCAUCCAAACACUACAAGAAAAUGAAUUUUUGUGGCAGAAUUAUUUACGACGGUUGAUCUAUCGUCGCAAAAAAGUUUAUUUACGACGGCAAAGAACCUUCACAAAUAAGAUGCCAAAUUUAAUUGCUAUUUUCAACGGCAAUAAAAUCUCGUAGUAAAAAAUAGAGUUUUUUCGAUGGCAAAU